GAAUUCGCCCUUAGAGUUUCUUUCUGGCUCAGGAUGAACGCUGGCGGCGUGCUUAACACAUGCAAGUCGAACGAAGCACUGAAGAAUGGAGAUUCAUCAAAGUUCUUCUUUGACUGAGUGGCGAACGGGUGAGUAAUGCGUGAGCAACCUGCCCUUCAGAGGGGGACAACAGUAUGGAAACGACUGCUAAUACCGCAUGACGUGUUCGGGAGGCAUCUCUUGGAUACCAAAGGAGAAAUCCGCUGAAGGAUGGGCUCACGUCUGAUUAGCUAGUUGGCGGGGCAACGGCCCACCAAGGCGACGAUCAGUAGCCGGACUGAGAGGUUGAACGGCCACAUUGGGACUGAGAUACAGCCCAGACUCCUACGGGAGGCAGCAGUGGGGAAUAUUGGGCAAUGGGCGCAAGCCUGACCCAGCAACGCCGCGUGAGGGAAGAAGGCUUUCGGGUUGUAAACCUCUGUCCUUGGUGACGAAGGAAGUGACGGUACCCAAGGAGGAAGCCCCGGCUAACUACGUGCCAGCAGCCGCGGUAAUACGUAGAGGGCGAGCGUUGUCCGGAAUUACUGGGUGUAAAGGGUGCGUAGGUGGUCGUAUAAGUUGGAUGUGAAAUCCCCGGGCUUAACUUGGGGGGUGCAUCCAAUACUGUUUGUCUAGAGUGUAGGAGAGGUAAGCGGAAUUCCUAGUGUAGCGGUGAAAUGCGUAGAUAUCAGGAGGAACACCAGUGGCGAAGGCGGCUUGCUGGACGACAACUGACGUUGAGGCUCGAAAGCGUGGGGAGCAAACAGGAUUAGAUACCCUGGUAGUCCACGCCGUAAACG
rnacentral:rRNA from 1 species